rnacentral:lncRNA from 1 species
GCAUGACUAAUAAAGUAGCUGUAGCUGUGGCCGUGACAGGGGCAGAACUUGGCGGAGGAGAGCUCGAACCCCCACCAGGUGCCCCACCGGGCGAGGUGGGUGUAGGAGCUCCUCCGGGACCAGAAGCUCCUCCGGGACCAGGAGCACUUGAAGGUGUAGAAGCUCCUCCGGGACCAGGAGCUGGUGAGGAUGACGGCACUGAUGCUGGAGAUGGUGCUGGCACUGAUGCUGGAGUAGGUGCUGGACCCGCUGGUGUUUUUGGUGCUGGGGCUGGUGUUGCUGCUGCUGGUGUUUUUGCUGGUGCUGGUGCCGAAGUCGGUGGUGCAGGUGUAGUUGACGGUGUUGAUGCUGGCGGAGGUGUGGAUGAGGGUGGAGGUGUGGAUGCUGAUGGAGGUGUUGAUGGUGGCGAUGAUGCUGGUGGAGGGGUGGCUUUAGGAGCUGGAGCUGGAGCUGCACCACCUCCUGAAACGGAGACGGUCAAUUUUUGUCCCAAGGAACAGUGCUGGGCGAAGGUGCAAAUGAAAUAUGCCUGCCCUGGGGAGGUUAGAUUGAUUCUUGCCGGACCAACAGUUUGUAGUGAGAUGGGAUUGCUUGAGGUGCAUCCGUCAUAACUUGCCUUUGGAACUACGGCCACAUCGUGAGCCCCAGUUGCGAAGUUAAAAACUGCAACAAUUUACAAAGUUUCACUACUCAUUUAUCAAGACACUCGAAAUCCUAACCUGUAUCAUCAAACUGAACACAAAAAAAAAAAUCUGAUGCCAAUUAUGCAAGAAUUUUAUAUUACUAGUUUCAUAGCAGCAUCGAUCCAUUCUAAGUCCAACAAAAACGAAAUCAAGAAAAGCUGCUAAACAAAUCUAUUCAGGGUUCAGCGUGCCCUGUGACAAAGAUGUAGGGGCAGGGUACAUAAAUAUCUCGUACGUACCUAAGAUAUCACCAACUUUGAAGGUAUGUUGAGAAGCCCAGUUGGGAUAGACCGAAGAACUGGAGGGGAUUGCCCAGCCCAAGCUGUCCCCGACCACAUGAGUUGCCGCAUCGGUGUUUCCUAGAAUAGCAGCGGCUAGAAUUACCAAAAGUGGAACUGCUGCAAAGGUGGUACUUGCAGCCAUAUUUUCCUCUAGCUAGAGGGGCUACUUAUGUGUUCUCAAGUCGACCCCUGCCUGAAGCUUUCUAAGCUUUUGCUAAUCGUGGGAUCCUGCUCAAGCGUUCAACAAGAACCCUUCCGUUUCAACCGGGGAAAUCAAAUACUAUAAUAGAUUAUAGAGAGAGAGAGAGAGAGAGAGAGAGAGAGGAAACACAAAAAGAAAAGGACGUGUGACGAGUAGGCUGAAUUUUCCUUGGAAGUGUGUGGGAGGAGGAAGAGGAUAUAGGGGGUCUCGAAAGGAUAGAUUCCACGUGGAGUGGUAAUAGUGCGUCAGUGGUAGCUAGGGAUUGGCUAUUGAAUUGUUGAGCUGUUGCUGAACGAUUACCCGCAUCAGCAAUUCAGCAAACGGUAGAAACACGGAGAUUUUUGCUCCAACUAGUGGUCUUCCAACUCAACUGUUCAUCGCUCGGUGCGUUUGACUGGGGUUGGAAAAUGCUUUGCCCACAAACAUUGCAAAAGAGGCCUUUGAUUUUUCAAGUGCCUAAUGAAUGUCGGGCGGUGUUAGUGUCAUAAUCUAUAAAUUUUGCUAAUUCUUGAAUAAAAUACGAAGCUUGUCUUUUUUCAAGUCAAAAUGAAACGUAGAUUGCAAAAAGAAGUCAAAAUUCCGACCGUGAUAAUAUCAUCAUCAUUUGCUAAUGCACAUGCGUGUCCGAUCUUCACAGGCGUGGAGUUGCUCUUACCAAAAAUAUCAACCACGGAUAUGGUCGUGCAAAUUCAAGCAGAAAUCCUGGGUGGAGAACGGAAUAGACAGCAAAGCAUGCCACCUGAUGGGCAUGGCUGUAGCCUGUAAUGAAGGGGUACGAGAGUACUGUAUUUUCACCGGGAAGCGUGACUUUUCUAGUAUUUGGAGUUAGUCUGCCGUCGGUCGGCAUGCCUUUAUGAAAGUGGUGAUCAAGGCCCACCACGCGUUUUUACCGGUUCAAACUUUAGAAGUCAGCACAGACCGACCGCUUUCUACAGUUUUUUUUUUUUUUUUUUUGGUGAAAGAGGACGAUUAAUAAUUAUUAUAUAACUUAUCUAUUUUAAAUUAGAGGGAGACUUUGUAUUAGGAGCUAAUAGAUACAUAAAUUUUACUAGAUUAAGAGAGUAUUUUAUCUUAAUUUUUAGAAUUUAAUUUACUAUGAAUGGGAUCUAAACCCCCACUAACAGUCCAAACAGGAUUUUAAAACCCAAGCUCAGUGGUUACCGCUUUCUACAGUUGAAAUGUCGAACAAAUUAGCUUAUGGUUCUGAACACUGAACUACGAGAAGAUAAGAGUGUGUUAUCCCUUUGAAAUGUCAACGAAAUCUAACGGCUUAAGGGUCACCAUUUGUCCCGAAGAUGGUUGGCUGAGGAACCCUCUUCACUUCUUUUUUGUUUGGCAUGGAGUCGUUUCGUACGAUACAAUAUGAGCCUAGUGAAAAAAUCUAAAUACAUCAAUAUAUAAUAAAUAUUAAUUUUUUUUCGCAACAGCGACAAUCUACUGCACUACUGAUUUUUUUUUUUAUUGUUUUAUAUGGAAUCUUUUUGUUUCGUAUGGAGUCGUUUCAUAUAAUAUGAGUCUAGUAAGAAAAACUAAAUAAAUCAAUACGUGACAAAUAUAAUUUUUGCUUUUUUGCAAUGGCAACAAUCUAGUGCACUGCUAUACUUCCUUAUCAUUUCAUGCAAUAUGAGCUUAGUAAGAAAUAUCUUGUUCCAAUACAUUUGUCUUUACAGAAAGUAAGCAUGUUUUUGCAAAUAAACCUAAUCCCCACAGUAACUUCAAAAGCCGGCAACUUUUAAAGUCCUGCGAGGGACUUAUCUACCCAAACAUCCCAACCCCCCAACCGAUGUGGGAUAGAAAACCCCACAGGGUGCCCUGCUGCUAAGAGAUAUCUAAAUACAUCAACACAUAACAAAUAUAACUUUUUUUUUUUGAACUACAACAAUUAAGUGCAUUGCUAUACUUCCUUGUGAUGCAUUAAACAGACUAUUAUACUUUUUUAUGAUGCACUAGACAUAAUUUAAAUCUCACACCUAGUGUGCGGGAGAGAUUUAAAGUGGCUCUCCUCGACCAUUGGACCAAUGCCCAAUGGUUACGUAACAACCAUUAACGUGAAGUAUUCAACUGAACGAAGAAAACCUUCUAGUCCAAUUUCUUGAUAUACAUAUCAUUGUAGGCCAAUUGACAAGGACUUGGGUAGUGUUUUCUCUGGCAAUGACCAAAAGCCAUAAAAGAUGUACAGUCCACAUCCAUGAAGGAACCAAGAAAUACAAAUCGGACAUGCCAUCAAGUUGAAGGCACUGAGGCCAUGCCUUUAUGCGCGGCGGGCCGGGGAGCCAAGCUUGGUGGGGGUGAAAAGAUGUUUGUUCUCCCCCCCCGGCGGCGGGGGCGGGUUUUUUGAUUCAUUGGCGUAGUCAAAUUAAUGGCAUUUUCCAUCCUAUAGAAAAAGAUCUUCUUUUUAUUUCUUUAUUUGAAAAAAUAAAAGUAAAAAGUGAUGACAUCUGAAGCUUUAGCCUUUAAGCAUCUUUAAAAAAAAAAAAGGUUUAUUUUAUAGUUGUUUAAAGCGAAAAUUGAGAACUGCAAAAACAAAUUCUAUAGGAGAAAAAGUGCUCCUACAAUGGAAAAUUAGUGAGGGCAAUUCUGCUUGCAUCCUUUAAAGUUUGUACAACUACAAAAGUCUACUUUGUGUUACCAAUUACUACGUUGAAAUCCCCUAUUAUUUGUUUGACAUUAUGGUUAAAAAAGUAAUGGAUAUAUUUUCGCUGGAAUUACGUUGUGUCAAGAUAAUCUUGAAGCGCAACAGAUCUUCUGUCUCACAUCCUGUGUCACUCUCUGUCCCACUUUUUAUUAUAUUGUUAUCUCUCCUUCAUAAACAGCAUGUUUUAAUUCUUUUUUAUUUUCUUAAAAUCCAAUAACUAUUAAUUCAGUAAUACACAAAAUUUAACAAAUUCAAAAAAUAAAAUGCAUAAAAAAUGAGAUUUUUUAUGAAUUUUCUGCUGUAUUUUUAAUUUUCUAUUAUAUAUUACUUUUUUUAAGCUGUUGUAUUUAUUUUUUACUGAAUUAAUAAUUAUUGGAUCUUAAGGAAACAAAAAAAGAAUUAAAACAUACUGUUUAUGAAGGAGAAAUAGUAAUAUAAUAAAAAAUGAGACAGAGAGUGACACAGAAUGUAGGACAGAAGAUCCGUUGCUAUCUUGAAGUAAUGGAACAUCUUAAGAUAAGAUAUAUCAACAUGGAGAAGAAGGCUUAGAAAAAUGGAGCUUCAAAAAUUCGGAGGAAUUGUUACCAUUAAACACGUACAGAGGAAUUAAAUACGCCAUUAGCUAUCAAAACUGGCUUUUGGGGUACGAUCAAAAGGUUUCCUUUCCAAUAGAAACUCGACGCUCUUCUUCCCCGGGGUCCACCUCUCUAUGCAGAUGGCAAUUGAGGAAACUGCCAACACCUUCCAAUCAGAAUCAAGGCAUAUUUUUACUUUGUAGAGAAUUUUAGAAAAAAAAAGGUGUAUCAGGUGGAAUAAUUCACCCACUAUUUAUUUCCCAUAAAAGAAAGACAAGAAGAGGCCGUUCACAUCUAUUUCCUAAUCAUCUCCAACCAACCCAAGUCAAGAUGAAAUUAUUUUUGGAGAUCCAUAUGUAUAUAUUUAUGCUGCUCUCUUUUUGGCAAAAAAGGAAAGAUUACACCAAUUAUUUCUCACAUAUUGUUGAUGAUAAAUUUAGUUCAUCAAAUUCAAAAUGACCAAUUUUAGUUCCUAAUAAAUAAAACUCACAUAUUUUUUACGUGGUCAGUAUUUAAAAGGCAACUCUGAUAACUCACUUAAUGUUAACUUAAAAUUUUCACUUAAUCUACUAUUUCUCCUAAUUUUUCUUCACUCAAACCCUUAUUUCACAAAUCCAAAAAUAUAUACACACACCUCCCACUCUUACCAUCAUCUUCCCCACUAUUCCCAUUUUCACUUACUGUCACCUUUGACCUCUUCUCACUCCUUUCUUGCCACCGCUUUCUCUUCUACCUCUCUCUUCCUUAGUUUUCUCCUACUUCUCCCUGCUCAUUUUUCUCUAACCACCACUCAUCCUGCCACCUCUUCUUAUUUUCUUCCCUCCUCUUUCUUUCCUACUCUCUCCUCCUUUACUUUCCCAUUAUUCCUUGCUUUCUCUUUUCUUCUUUCUCUUCUUCUUCUUAACUUUUGUCUCUCCAUACUCCCCUUUUCCCCAACGAUUUGGUUGUGUUGCAAAUAAGGGAAAAAGAGAGGCACCAGAGAAGGAGAAAGGGGAAAAAAGAGUGGCAAGGAAAAAAAAAUGAGACAAAAGAAUGAUAAAGUGGGAGAAGAAGAGAAGAAUAGAGGGAGAAAAAAAAUAGGUGAUAGGAGAAGGAGUGAAAGAGAAUCAAGAGUGCUGAUGGAAGUAAAACGGUGGUGAAAGAUGAAAAUGGAUGUGUGUAUUUUCAGGUUUGUGAAAUUAGGGUUUAGAUGGAGAAGAAUUUAGAAAAAUGAUAGAUUAAGGUUCCGUUUGAUAAAACUGAAUCUGAAUUCUGAAGUCUGCAUCCUGAAAUCUGAAAUCUGAAUACUAAAACAAUUAAUUUGCUGAAUUUUAAGCACUGAAAAAAAUAUAUGAAUGUCUGAAUUUUAAUGCUAAACCUAUUUAUACUGUUUGAUAAAUAUUUAUAGCUGAAUGCUUAAUAAGUUUAAUUUGACAAUUUUGCCCUUAUAUCCUUUCAUUCAAAAAAGAAAUAGAAUCUAUGAUUUAAUUAGUUUAAAAGUAUUAGGUAUGAAAAUGAUAAUAUUUAUUUUUAAAUCAAAUUAAUAUAAAAGAUGAAAUAUAUUAUAUGAGGAGUAUGGAGAAGAUGUGAAAGUCAUUAAAAAGAGAGAAAAGGAAAACUAAAAAUCGUUAGAUAAAGAAUAUUAUGUUGUUUAAUUAGAUGAGAAUUUUGAACAUAAUUAACAAACAAAGAUAGAUUUGGUAGAUAAGAUAAUAUAGUUAAAAUAAUUCUAUUGAUUUUUAUCAGAAUUAAGCAUUCAAUUAGGAUUCCUGUACUGAAAAAAAUACACACAGGUUCAGCACUGCUUAACAAGUUCAGCAAAUAGAUUUUCAUUUAUCAAACACUCAAAACAUCUGAAUGUCUGAAAAAAUUCAGAUUCAGCACUUUUUUAUGUUAUGAAACAGACCAUAAGUCAGCAAUUGUAUUAAGUAAAUUGUCUGAUUUGGCAUUUAAAUAUUGACCAUGUGAAAUGUUCUAACUUAUUUCGGCCAAAAUUUGACUUGAAAGGCAACAAAAGACCAAAAAAAGUAUUUUAGUCCUAACAAAUAAAAAAUACUUUUUUUAAUUCCCUAUAGAAAAUUUUGGUAAAUUUUCUAUAGGGAUCACUAAUACGACGAAAAUAAAAUAAAGAAUGGUUUGGUUAACAGGUGCCUAAUGAGCCGCCGUUAAGAGGGGUCUUAAGUAUUACUUUCUAGAGGGGUUUCAAGUAUUAGUUCUUUAGAUAAAUUUAGAGGUUUUUGUUUAAUGAUUAAGAUUGAAACUUUAGAAUUUAAAGGUUCUUUGAUAAUGUUAUAGGUGUCAAACAAAUCUAUUUAACUAAAUUUAUUCAUAUUCGUCCAUGAAUAGAUGGGUAUGGAUAUUUUAAAUUUUUAUAUAUGGGUAUAAAUAUGUUAUCCAAUAAUACCCAUUUAAUAAAUGGGUAUAAUACCCAAUAAUACCCAAAACCUUAAACUCAUUUAAUAAAUGGGUAUAAUUGAGUAACCAACCAAAUAUAAUUAACCCAUUUAGAAUUAUUUUUACAAUCACAUCUAUUUAGAAUUGUCUUCAGCAAUAAUAUCCUAAUUUCUUUAUCACCUUUGACCAAAGGUAGCAUCAAAAAGUGGAGAACCAAACGGAAAGGUGGGAGAAUAUGUUGGCCAAUUUUUAACUUAAAGAAUAACUAUGCACUUGGAGAUUUUUCUGUCCUGUUUUCAUUUGUAUUUUCCUAGUAUCCAGUUUCAAGUUCAUAAGUUGGUCAAUCACUGUUUAAUCUAUCUUUUUCAUGGUUCCAAAUCCUUUCCCUAUUGCAAAACAAAAAUAUUCUUAUUAUUCAAUUAUUAAAUAGUAUGUAAUUUUGUCACAUAGCACAUAGAUGGGGAAAAAAGUUGGUAAUUAGAUUUAUCGGGCAUUAUAAGUAAAUAUUUUAAAAUUAAUGAUGGGUACAAACUGCAAAUGGUGGUAUCAAUUGAUAAUUUAGUGUAUAAAAUAAAUUUAGAUGAGUUUGUAAAAAGUUAAAAUAAAUGGAUUGUAAAUGAAUAAUUGGAUUACUAACUCAUUUUUUGACUUAUUCACUUAUAUCCAUCUAAUUAAAUGAGUAUAAAUGGAUUGACUCACUUAUAUCCAUUACCCAUUUUAACCCGUCCAUGUUACCCAUUUUAAUUAAUAAUCAGCUCUCUUUUUCUCACCUUUUUUGGUUCCUUGCGUACCAAAUUUGGAAGACAAAAGGAGAAUCAAAAAGGAAAAUGGAAAAGCUCAAGAAUACAAACCAAUGCUAGAAAGUUUCUUCUUGAAGUUAUGGGUCAAAUUUGGUUCCUUCUUAGCCUCAAUCACCUGGAUCAUUGUCGGCUUUACACUUUGCUGAACAACCGGAUGGCACUCAGAAAUCAGUAAACUCUCGAAGCAUCGGAUGCCCAUACAAAGGUAAGCAAGUGAUUCGGAUCCCAUAUUCCUUUGGAUAAAAUAUCAAUUAACAUAGCAAAACUUAUUUGGUUAAGGCUCCGAUUUAUAUCAAUUUCGAGCCCCCCAACGAAAAGGGUAACACACUCAAGUCAAUUCGGAGACGGCAAUUAUCGGAUGGAAGAGAAGACAAUUACGUCAACUCCCCGUUAAUAUCAUCAAUCCAUAGAUUCAAAGUCUUCGAAGUCGCCGUUUUACGACCGACAUUGCCGUUCCCAUAAUCCGGACAACCGCGUUUAAGAGUCCGAAGCCAGAUAAAUCCCAAAAGCCAGUCAACCAUUUUUGUCUUUUCAAGCACAGGGUACUAAGUUUAACUUAUUAUCCAGAUUAACCUCGGCCGCCCCGGCCACACCAAAAACCGAAAAAAAAAAUAUUAUAAUAAUUAGGAGAUUUUUAAUUGAACUACAUGGACAAGAUAUUAGACACCAAGUUUAUUGGACAUAGACAUGUAUACGUUGGCCAAACAAAUACUCCAAACGAUCAGCAACUUCGAAAGAAAAAAGAGGAAAAAGAAGUAAUAUGUUCUUUUAAUGCACUGAACGUGACAUUUGAUGGCAGCUAAUCUACAAGUAUAAAGAUUUUUCCUACUGCUAAUUUGGUGUGAAAAUUCAAGCAUUGGCCCCCAACCGAAAAAAAAAAAUGGUGGUGUAGUUUUAUUCCAAUCAUCCACCCACUUACAAAAUCAAAAGAAAGACUACACUUGAGACUGCUAAUACCAACGUUUUGGACCCAAACCUCCUUCCACCUUGGAUUUCCUGAAACAUUGCACGUCAUCAAAUUUAAUAUUGAUAGGAGGAUAAACUAUGAAUCAAUCAAAACUAUAGAAACAUGACAAGGACUUAAAAAAUCUCUUGCUCAAGUCUCUGGCUGACGGAGGGAAAAAAGAAAAAGAAAAAGAAAAAGCCCAUCACUUUGAACCAAACAUUGAAUUGUAUAGCAUAUGCUGGUGAUACCCAAGAACUGAAAACGCAGAAAGAAACAUUUGAAAACAUAACCCUUUAUCUUGCUAAGAUGAAUUGAGACAAGUUGCCCAAAUGAUAAUUUUUCAUGCUACUUUUAAAAAAUUAGAGCUGCAUAAUCUUUUCUCCAACGCCAGGCGAAAGCUGUGGCUUAUAAUGUCAGUGAGAGAGUAGGACACUGAAUUGACAGUUCGAGAAGUCAAGAACAACACAAACUCAAGACGACAAUGAGUAACAAUUUUACCUCCAUUUCACAUGCAUCUGCAUAAACUAGAGGAUUCCAGGAAACAACAAAAAAUUUUGCCUUUCCAGUUAAAUUGAGGUAAUGUUUAACUCAAGAAUUGACUAAAAUGACCGGGAGUUCGUAAAACAUUAAGCUAAAAGCAGAUUACACAAUAAUUAGGUUGGUAGAUAGACAAAAAUCCAUGGCUGGGUCAUAUAUCUGCCAUGCUCCCAUGCCUUGGCCCCACACAUUAUAACAUUUAGACAAUUUAGAUUAUCAUAAAUUAUCUGAAGAACUCAGUUAUUUUGGGUGGUCAAGUAUAGAAGUUAGAGGUGAGGAAGUAUUUAGACAAUUUAGAUUAUGAUAACACCUCAGUCUUCAAGAAGCCUACCAGUACCAUCCAGCAAGCCCCUUUUCAUUUGCACAUACUUUCAAUCAAUAGACCUCCAAAAGGGGAUAGUGUUGCAAAAGUGUUCUACUUAAGGUUCAGCAUAUUACAAGUUAGCAUAGUAUUGAACAACAUGAUUAUUACGAAAUUGUUCAAGACCUUUUGAUCAGAAUUAAGUAGGUAUAUGAGAUAUCAAAAGAGUAUUGCUUACUCAUUACAAAAUUUAGUUAUGCAUUCAUGAAAAGAGGAAGUCAACGUCAACAUUGAGAACACUUGUCAAUAGGAAUUUUCUUUUUGCAAGGAUUUACAAAAAGUUCAACUCAUUAUAUCUGUAAAAAAAUGUAGGAACUGAAACCUUAAAAGACAAACCUUCAAAAUCCAUAAUUGAUUAUUCUUUCAAAUUAAACUUUGUGCAAAAUCACAUACUAAUAUUUAUAAAAGGUGCCAUCAACAUAUAAGCUCAUGAGAAUGAGAUGGUCGAGCAUAAGAAGUAUAAAAGACAGUUUGGUGGUGCUUUGAAUGAUAUCCAUUUUCAGGGAUUCAAAAAUUUACAAGACUUUCAAACUCAGAGGAUAUUGUUUGACAGAAUCACCUGAAAAAAAACAUAUCCUAAGAAUCUUUAACUCUAGCCCAUGAAUUCUUGCAAAAAUUGCUUACAAUAACAUAUCAGACAAUAGCACCUAAAAAUUAACAUACUUCCUAGAUCCAGGAUAGGUUAGCAAACAUGAUUUAUUACACACUGAAUUUGCUAAGCUAAAAAAGAUGUUAUUCAAGGCUAACUCCUUCGUUCCUAGGCUUCAACAUC